rnacentral:sRNA from 1 species
CAUUUAAGUUUAAUGGAGAAAGUCAGAAACAUGGCCCUGGAUGAUGUCGUGAUCCUGAAUGUGGACACCAACACCCUGGAAACCCCCUUCGAUGACCUCCAGAGCCUCCCAAACGACGUGAUCUCUUCCCUGAAGAACAGGCUGAAAAAGGUCUCCACAACCACUGGGGAUGGUGUGGCCAGAGCGUUCCUCAAGGCCCAGGCCGCUUUCUUCGGUAGCUACCGAAACGCUCUGAAAAUCGAGCCGGAGGAGCCGAUCACUUUCUGUGAGGAAGCCUUCGUGUCCCACUACCGCUCCGGAGCCAUGAGGCAGUUCCUGCAGAACGCCACACAGCUGCAGCUCUUCAAGCAGUUUAUUGAUGGUCGAUUAGAUCUUCUCAAUUCCGGCGAAGGUUUCAGUGAUGUUUUUGAAGAGGAAAUCAACAUGGGCGAGUACGCUGGAUUCCUGUUGAGAUUAAAUCAGAGUACAUGAGGAAAGGUUUGUGCAGUCAUCCAGGACAGUUCCUGGCAUGGGGACUGUGUGCAGCAGUGACAAACUGUACCAUCAGUGGCUCUCCACUGUCCGGAAAGGAAGUGGAGCAAUUCUGAAUACUGUAAAGACCAAAGCAAAUCCGGCCAUGAAGACUGUCUACAAGUUCGCAAAAGAUCAUGCAAAAAUGGGAAUAAAAGAGGUGAAAAACCGCUUGAAGCAAAAGGACAUUGCCGAGAAUGGCUGCGCCCCCACCCCAGAAGAGCAGCUGCCAAAGACUGCACCGUCCCCACUGGUGGAGGCCAAGGACCCCAAGCUCCGAGAAGACCGGCGGCCAAUCACAGUCCACUUUGGACAGGUGCGCCCACCUCGUC